rnacentral:rRNA from 1 species
UGGGGAAUUUUUGACAAUGGGGGAAACCCUGAUCCAGCCAUCCCGCGUGUGCGAUGAAGGCCUUCGGGUUGUAAAGCACUCUUGGCAGGCAAGAAACGUCAUGGGUUAAUACCCCGUGAAACUGACGGUACCUGCAGAAUAAGCACCGGCUAACUACGUGCCCGCAGCCGCGGUAAUACGUAGGGUGCAAGCGUUAAUCGGAAUUACUGGGCGUAAAGCGUGCGCAGGCGGUUCGGAAAGAAAGAUGUGAAAUCCCAGAGCUAAACUUUGGAACUGCAUUUUUAACUACCGGGCUAGAGUGUGUCAGAGAGAAGUAGAAUUCCGCGUGUAGCAGUGAAAUGCGUAGAUAUGCGGAGGAACACCGAUGGCGAAGGCAGCCUCCUGGGAUAACACUGACGAUCAUGCACGAAAGCGUGGGGAGCAAACAGG